AGAGGCCACUGGAUGGUCGCCGCUGAAAUUUCAGGGGAGGAACGUCCGGACUCCACAGGACACGAUGGUGGCUAACGGCCACCCGGGGCGACCCGCGGGCUAGUGCCACAGAGAAUAGACCGCUUUCGCAGGAAAAUGUCGAAAGUAAGGGUGAAACGGUGGUGUAAGAGACCACCAGUAACGCAGGUGACUGCGUUAGCUAGGUAAACCCCAUCGGGAGCAAAACCAAGUAGCAUACUGGGCUGUCCGUCUAAAGUAUGCGGGUAGGUUGCUUGACUGGCAUGGCAACAUGCCAGCUAGAUAGAUGGCCAUCGAAAAGGAAGCGGUAACGCUCCUUGGAACAGAAUCCGGCUUAUAGGUGGCCUCUUCCC
rfam:Actinomyces coleocanis DSM 15436 SCAFFOLD3 genomic scaffold, whole genome shotgun sequence.